GAAAAAGGAGAAUCUCACUCCUCCCUAAGACU
rnacentral:tRNA from 1 species